AACUGCUUUUUAGGGGAAUAAAGAGGGGCACGCGUGCCCUGUUGCAUGUACCCUUGGAAUAAGGACCGGCUAAUUCCGUGCCAGCAGCCGCGGUAAUACGGAAGGUCCAGGUGUUAUCCGGAUUUAUUGGGUUUAAAGGGAGCGUAGGCCGCAGGCUAAGUGUGUUGUGAAAAGCAGUCGCCCAACGUCUGCCUUGCAGCGCAAACUGUCCUGCUUGAGUGCGCACAACGCAGGCGGAAUUCGUCGUGUAGCGGUGAAAUGCUUAGAUAUGACGAAGAACUCCGAUUGCGAAGGCAGCUUGCGGGAGCGCAACUGACGCUGAAGCUCGAAAGUGCGGGUAUCGAACAGGAUUAGAUACCCUGGUAGUCC
rnacentral:rRNA from 1 species